UACGUAGGGUGCAAGCGUUAAUCGGAAUUACUGGGCGUAAAGCGUGCGCAGGCGGUUUUGUAAGUCUGUCGUGAAAUCCCCGGGCUCAACCUGGGAAUUGCGAUGGAGACUGCAAGGCUAGAAUCUGGCAGAGGGGGGUAGAAUUCCACGUGUGAGCAGUGAAAUGCGUAGAGAUGUGGAGGAACACCGAUGGCGAAGGCAGCCCCCUGGGUCAAGAUUGACGCUCCAUGCACGAAAGCGUGGGGAGCAAACAGG
rnacentral:rRNA from 1 species